CGUUUCUGUGGCACAGACACUGGGCUGACAUUGGAAUGACUGGGACAUUAGCAUGGCCCCUGGGCAAAGAUGACAUGUAAAUACAUGCAAUGUUCCAUGUUUUU